ACUACACAAACAUCUACAGGCAGCAAAGGAAUGCUAGAAGUUGGGAAAAUAGUCUUCCCCAGGUCUUGCCUUGCCUCAGCACAUGAGUGCAAAACUCCACGUCUGCAUCAGCUGACAUCACUCUGUUAAUGGACCCCAGUCUGAGGAAGCAGCAAGAAGCCGCAUCACCAGAUUUUGUUGGUGCCUUUCUUUCUAUGGAGUCCGGUCAAAUGCAGUUCAACUACGAAAUAGGGAGAUAGUUAACGAAGAGACUCAUACCAGAUGGAAGUGUUGAGAGUGAGUGAGUCUUGAGUCCACAUCCUUAAAUGGAGCAUCAUCUAUAACUCUCUCAAAGGCUUAGAGAGCAGUCAGACGAGGGAGAAAACAGAUGCCAAGAGCUGGAGACUGGGGAAGAUGGCUGUAAAUCUCUGUCAUUUGGACGUGCCCAUGU